UUGAGUUGUAAACAAAAUAAUAAGCUUACGGAAAUUAAUUCAAUCACAGAGAACGUGUUAUUUUUUCUUAUUUCAUAAAUUUUUACCAAUAAAAUGUAUUUAAUAAAAUCGGUUUUAAUUUUGACACUAGCUCUGAUUUUGUACAUGAACUUCUCGGAGGCUGGUAAUCAAGUCGGUAAAAUUGCGGGUAAAGCAGUUAAAAAUUUACCCAAGGUACCGAUAGCAGUGGGUGUUGUGUCUGCUAAUAAAACGCAUGACAUCAAUAUUAAAACAAAUCCUCCAUCAGUUAGUUAUGGUUCAAGAUCUAACUCUCCUAAGCCUAAGAAGCAAUAGAAGACAAGGUAUACAAUGCAAGGAAUUAUUGUUUGGCUUUGAUCACAAAUAAAAAUGUCGGAUAUAAUAACUUUUUUUAUGAAAUAAAAAUGUAUUCUUAAAUCAAUUAAAACCAGUACCUAACUCUAUAUAUAUAUGUGUAAGUAAAAAAGUACAUAACUCUAAA